UAUGUGAAAACGCCCUCUGCAAUACCACCGAUUUGGAACGUGGCUUAACAGUUACUUUGAAGACCGAACAUCGUUUGUCGUUUAAUAAUAGUGCAUGAUUAUUAAACUUUAUUUGAACUCAUGUCAAAGAAGGACGUGGCAGAAGAAAAACACCGGCAAUUAGCUUCGUUCAUGAGAAGAGUGCUGGAUGAUUUUUGCAAAAUUAGAGGAAGAGAAAAGAAAUAUUUUCAUGUACCUUUCUGGGACGUUGUAGCCAUUACAACUGCUGAUGAAGAACAGAAGAGAGCAUUUGAAGAACAAAUUAAAAGAAAGUGUUCCAGUCAUGACCUUCCAUUAGGCAUACCGUUCCAUGUAUUUGCAGAUCCGCCAGGACUAAAAAUUGGAUGUGGAAACUCAACAUUUCUUGCACUUGUUGAACUGCUGGACAUAUAUGGAGACAGACUCUACACUCUGAGAAUUUUGUUGAUUCAUGCUGGUGGACUUAGUCAACGACUUCCUAGUUUAUCCAUCUUAGGCAAACUAUUUUCUCCCAUUCCAACAGGCCAUUCCUUGUUUCAGAUGUUGGACCUAAAGCUUGCUAUGUACAUGCCAUUUCUUAGAAAGAUGCAAUCUGGUGUAUUUGUCACAUGCUCUGAUGAUAUCAUUACGUAUAAUCUAGGGGAAGAAUAUGAAAAUGAACCUGCAUGGUCGUUUACAAAGCCCGGAUUCACUGCUCUUGCACACCCAUCAAAUCUUAACAUUGGUACAAAGCACGGAGUCUAUGUCCUGCCUCCUUUGGAAUUCACUUCUAAAACAUGCUUUCUCAGUUCUUGCAGUCUAGUUCUGCAGAAACCCACAGAGGCAGUAAUGAGAGAGAAAGGUGCUGUGGUUACCAUAUCCACUCCAGAGGGUGAUGAAGAUAUUGUAUACAGUGAUAGUGCUUUCUUCUUUUCCACUGAAGUAACAAAGAAAAUGAUAGACUUCUGUAGGGCAAACAAAUCUUUUAGUUGUGAAAUUGAUGCCUAUGGAGAUUUCCUUCAGGCAUUGGGUUCAUGUGCUGUUCCAGAUUACAUUUACAACUCUUCCACUGUAGUUGAUUCAACUGAGGAGCUAGUUACGGCUCGUCAAAGGAUCUUUCAUUUAUUACAAGGUUGUGACUUGAAUAUUGUUGUAUUACAGCAAUCAAAAUUCUAUCAUAUGGGGACAAUGACAGAGUAUGUUGAGAAUCUCUGUGCCAAUUCCAGUUUUGCUAGAGAACUACAGCUUUCAAAAUUUGCUGAUUCUGCUUUUUGUGGUCCUUGUGCUGGAGAACUUAUGAUUAAUGGUACUGUUAUUCAUUCUCUUAUAAACAGGAGUUCUCAAGUAAGUAAAAAUUCAGUUGUAGAAUAUUGUGAUUUCCGAGUACCAACAUAUGUUUCAGAAAACUGUAUCGUGAGUAACUGCAGAACAGAAAGCCUUGUAUCUGGUGAAAGUUUCAUUAAAGUUCCCUCAUGUAUUUUGCUUCAUACAGUGGCAGUUACUAUCAGUGGUCAUCAUGGUUAUGUUACUGUUGCAUUUAAUUUUCAUGAUGAUAUUAAGAAAAAAUAUCCAUGGGAUGACAGAGGUAAAGUAAUAUUUUUAAACAAAAGACUAGAAGACAUCCCAGCUUCACUGUUGGGAGUAAAUAUCUUGAAGGAUUGUUUUGAUUCUAAAGACAAGUUGUGUUCUUUGUGGGAUGGUAAACUGUUUGAAGUUUGUUCUACCAUGGAAGAAUCAUUUGGAGAGACUCUUCAAAUGGUUAAUGCAAUAAUGGGAUGCCUUGAUACCAGUAACACCCUCAAUAUAACAUCGAGAAAAAAUCCCAAGCUGUCCAUGGUUGAAAUUCUAAAAUACAAAAACAUAACUGCAAUGCUAGAUUUUCGUCAGAAAUUACAUGAAGAAAUUUUGAAGUUUGACUCCACAAGUUAGUGGCUUAACCUGAAGUAUUUCUUGCUAACUUUUGAAACAAUAUAAAUUCUUGGUUUUCAUUACAUCAGAUAAAGCAUGUGAGAUAUUUGAGAUUUUGAAUGUUUAAUUCAUCUAUGUUUUAUUAAAUUUUAUUUGUCUGUUUGUAUUUACUAAAUAUAUUAAUGUAAUGUUAAAGUGUUAUAAAUAAACUUUAAUCGUGAAAUUAGUUUUUCGAAGGUCCAAUACAAUUAUAUGAUAAAAGUAAAUAAUCUACAAUAUAGAUUUUAAUUAAUAAAAGUGUAUUCUUCUUGUUAUUUUAAUGUCAGUUUUGUAAAAAUUACAUUAAAUAUACAUAUUAUUAUGUUUCUUAUAGUUUUUGAAAUAAUAUUCAAUUCCAAGUUUUUGCUUGAAGAGUUAUAUUUCUUAAAUGGGGAAAUAAUCACCUGAACUUACUAAACUCUACUAUGAUGAACUGGAAGCCUGUGUUUUACAAAAAUUGUCUUGUUUUUCAAAGAUUCAGUUUGUGUAGGUGUUUUAACAACUAAAGGGAAAAUGAUAAUUAUUUAAUCACUAGAUAUUCCUGUGUUUGAUAUUAAAUUAAUUGUGCUGCCAAAUCCAUAAGCUAUUUGAUUAAAAGAGUACAGGAAACAAUUAAGUUUGUUUGGAAUAUGCCAAAUGAAUUUGAAGAAGAAUCCUGUGCAGUAAAUUUUAAGAACGUGAUUUAAGAAGGUUAAUCUCAGAAUGUUUUGAAAGCUUUGAAAUAUUCUUGGAUAAGAAGCGUUUAUUAAUAAUUACACUUAGAUUUAUUUUAUUUGUUAUGAACUAAUGGAUAUACAAACAUAUAUCUUAAACUGUGGAACAUCCUAUAAAUUAUUGGAGAUAAUUAAUUAAGAAUAUUUUUUGUAUUGAUAUGUUCAAGUCCAUUAUUGACAUGGAGCCUGUAAAGUUUUAUAUUCCAACUCAGAAACUUGUGUAAAAAAAUCAUCAAUUAACCAAAAACUGUUGAGAUGUUGAUGAAAGAUUAUUAAACAAAGCUUUCUUUUCUGAAAUAAUAGUGUUACAAAUGAAAAGUUACAAACAAUACACAGUAAAAUGGCUUUAUGGAUGGUUUAGUAAAAUUAAAAGUUGCAAACAGUACACAGUAAAUGCCUUUAUAGAUGGUUUAAUGUAAUUAAAACUUGCAAACAAUAUAUGGAAAAAUGCCUUAAUGGAUGAUGUUAAAUGGAAAGUACAUCUUUUAUAGACUGUUGGAAACUUAGUUUAUAAAUCUGUUUCAGAGUGUGAUUUUAUUUAUUAUUUCUUUAAAUCCAUUUUAUAUAAUUCCUUAAAAAUGUUAUUAUGACAUUUUUCCCUGCUUUGGCAUUAUGCUUUAUGUCUGAAGCACAAGUAAAUGUAAUAUUGUCAGUAUAAUAUGCUUGAGAUUUAGAAAUUGUACUUUUUAUUAACUAAAUACACAACCACAGGCUCCUGUUUACCACAGUAUUGUGACAUAUUCAGAAUUGUUUUUACUGUUAGUUAAAGUGCAUCACGCGAAGAAAUAUUCAGUUAACACUUAAGCCAAUUAUUUGUCAGUUUAAUGUUUGAUAAUAUUUAUUGGUAUCGCAAUAUGUUUAAUAAUUGUUCAGGUUAUUUUGUUGAGUAAUAUAUAUUUUUAAUCUUUAAAACUUAUAAUCAUACAUAUAAUAAUCAUUCAGUACUGUAUAUUCAUGUACUUGUAUCUUUGUAAUGAUUCAUUAAGUUUAAAAAGUUACAUCUGGAUGAAAGUAGUAAAGUUAAAGUAUGAAACAUCAUUAACAUACAAACUGUAUUGCUGGGAUAUAGUGUAAAGUUAUUGUUUGUCUACUGCAUAACACACUGGCUUUUCAUGAUGCUUUUCAUAGGGUUGUUUUUUUAUGUAACACUUGCAUUUAUGCUUGAUUUUUUGGGGUUAUAGAAAAUUAACACUUCAUGGAUAUUUCAGUUGUUGGUAUAAAUUAGUUUCUAGAAAAUGGAAAUAAAAAGUUUCCUCUUGCAAAUUUAUGUAAGACACUUUUUUUUUGGCAGAACCAAUUUUGAUAUUACAAUAUUUUAUGUCUGUAACAUCCCAGAUGGAGAACAAUAAAUGUAAAAUACAAAUUGACUUUCAUAUCAGUUGAAAGUGUUUUAUGUAAGACUUUACAAUAUAUUAGAAAAUCAGUACUUUAAGCUAAACAUGGUUUAUUUACUGACAUGUAUCAGGAACCAUGUUUAAAAGGUGUGGAUACAAGCUUACUGAAGUGAUGAACAAUUAAGAAUAUUUUCAGAUCCCCCCAUUCUUCAGCAGUUGACCUUGAUCUAUAUAACUGACAAUCACCCCAAAAAAUUCUGUGGAACUCCAAGGGGAUAUUUCAGUACAC
rnacentral:misc_RNA from 1 species